GUAGAAGUACACUUAUAUUUCAGUAUUCAAUGAUACUCUGUUCAUGGUGACGAAAUUCACACUAGUAAUCAAUGCUGGAAAUUCCUUAGAGUCAGUCCAACACAUGCUAUUGUAUUUAAUAAUUGGAUUGUGUAUUCAAGGUCAUGCGCUCUUCAUCAUAUGCAGAUACUUACAGAGAAAUUAAACCACCACAAUAAUAUAACUACAAUAUUGUAUGUUUUUCCUGGGGCACAUGGAGCAAAAUGAGAAAAAACAAUCAUAUGGCUCUCAAAUGGAUUUUCCUUCACACGCAGUCAAAAUAUGUCACCGCUCAUUUUUGUGCAAGUUUUUCAAGUUCUGAAGAUUAUGAGUUGAGAAGAAAUGACAGCAGUGGCCUUGGAAAUUGGUUAGAAGACAUGCAAAGAUGUGGUGAUGAUGGCUUAGAUCUCUCUUCUAUCUUAUUCUGCCAUGAUCCUUUUAAAAUGCAAAUAUAAGACCAGACAGAAACACAGCGAUGUGCUUUCUACAACAAAAGACUUGGAUGGUGUUUGAUGAUAUCUCAAAUAUAUUUUGUUUCUAGAAUUUUCAUUGUACUGAAGGCUAAAAAGGAUAUUCCUGCAGCCACAGUGUCCUUUCCACCUACCUUCUCAACGCCACAGGCACCAUUUACUGGAGACAGCAAACAGCAUCCUGCUCCUACUUGAACUUAAUUUUAUCCUGAUUACAUUUUGCUUUAAAACAUACAAUAAAUGGGAGACCCUGAAAGUAAAUCCAAAAGAUCCAUUCCCUAACUUCUGUUAUUAAAUUAACACUUAUUAUAAUUUUGCUUAACUUUUUGUUUGUGUAUCCAUAUAUUAUUAAAACAUAUUUCAGUAUUGUUAAUUACAUCAUAAACUAUGUGAUAAAUACCACUGUCACAUUAUUUGGAAAUCUGAGGGUAUAUAUGAUAUGUCCUUUAGGAAAACUCUUCUAGACACUGCUAACCUUGAAUACCUUCUUUUCUGUGUCCUAUCAGCCAUAUUGAUGAUUUCUACUGACAUUAUUUUGAAGCAAUACUCUUCAAAGCUGUACUGAAUAUAUUUCUGUAAUGAUGUAAAAUGUUUUCCACUUUGAAAUGUUUUUACAAGUGGCAAUAUUCUAACUCUAUAACUGCUCUAAUAGUAUAACCAUUUGCCAUUAAUCUUCCUUAAUAUUAAUUUUCUUUUUUCUCCAUUCCCGUCUCUGAAAAUCUAAACUGUGUCUCAGGAGCUAUAAUAAUAAGAACCAGGCCAACAAAAAACCCUAUAUUCUGACAUAUUCCAAAUCUGAUUUAAACCAAUCUUUACACAUGGACAUGUUUGACUUGGUCAAUAUUUAUUUAAAAAAUGAAGUGCACGUACGGUGCAGAUUUGCCAUUGUUAGAACACUGGCUACAAUCAUGAAUGUCUUCUACUUUGACAAAACCACUCCUGAUUUUACUGGCAGGUUUUGCCUGAUAACACAGGAUCUGAACCAACCAUUUGUCAUUUGUCAGAUUUAGAGAUUCUGCAGUUCUAGCUGUAGAGUUUGUUUUAUUGCACUCAAUUAGUGAAAAGUAUGUCCUUUCAGUCAUUUUAGCUUUCUAGUACAACUCCUUUGCAACUAUUCAGAGCAGUGAAACAGGUCUUGCUUGUUUAAUUAGGGGUUUCGUCCCAAAAUAAAUGAAAUAACAGAAAUACGAAGCCCCACCUAGAAAGCUCAAAAAAGUGCAUGUAACACCGGGCUCCAGGCUAAACAGAAAAAAAAGCUCUGACACCAGCACGGACUUCUUUGGACAAAGAAAGAAGGAUUAGCUGGGGGGGAGUGAUACGUUAGACACUUAGAAUGUUUAGGUCUAUUCUUGCGCUCUUACAUUACUCAGCAGCAACUGCAUUUUAUCUGAAAACUUAAAAUUUAACAGCAUCUGACGAAAAUGCUAAGCUGUUACAUAUCAAAACUCAACAGGGUCUGACCUAUACUGUCAUUUUUGCUUAUUCACCAGUAAAUGAAGGCAAGCUUUCUCAUGCAUAAAGAGUUUCUGUCAAUGGGGAUCUCUUAACAGAGUUGCAGGCUCCCCAAGGUUCACCAAAAGGUAAGCAAGAAAGCUCCUCCCUUUCCAGGCUUUGCACCACAGGCCAUAUUUAGUAAAGCAAUGUAAGAAAGUGACCUGACUUUACAGAGAUAUAAAUUUUUACAAAGUUACUACUAUCCAAUGCUUGUGCACAGUAAAAGUGCAGUUGGGAGUGAUUCUAAGUUUCACAUGCUUAAAACUUUUUUGAUUUAAUGUAACUCAUCCUCACAGAUUUCCUUGGUGUAAAAAAAAAAAAAAAAAAAGAAAGAAAGAAAGAAAAAAAAAGAAAAAAAAAUCAGACUUUCCAAAUUAAACUUUCUACCCUGUCAACUACAAAACUGACUUUUUUACUUGGAUAAGUUUAUGGAACAAGAGGAUAAUGUAAGAAUAUACAGUAACUCUAGAAAAUAACAACUUCCUAGUAUUUUCCAAUGGCUUUGAACUGCUAAUGCAAGCCUUGUGUCUACUGCACGGGGCUGUAAACGUUACCCAGAGACAUGGCUUCAUUUUCAGUGUUAGAUAUAAGCAAAGAGCAAUCAGAUUGAAGGUUUCAAGAGCUUUGCCAGGCAUGGCAUGGAUGUCACGGGGAAAUUAGACUGACGGAUUGCAAUUACAGUAAUGGGGGAAGGCACAGUCCUUAGAUUCUGGCACAUACUAGUAAAAGUCUUUCUGAGGCCAGCCUGCAGCAGUCAUUGCUGUGAUAUCAUGUGGGGGUACCCAAUGAAGUCUGAAAGGAGAUAUAAAGCACAGAGUAGGACAACACAGUCUUUUGAAACUGGAAAGUUUCCCAGGAUUACUUUACAGUUCCAUGGGAAGCCUUUCACUGUCCUACUGAAAAUCCUGCCAAGGCUGCUAAAUACAGAAUCAUUUUCAAACCCAUUAAUUUUUUUUUUUAUUUUGGUAUUUUUUUCUACUUCUUAGAUUAUUAUUUUAUUAUUAUCUUUAUAUUUUAUAUAUGAAGGACAAGAUGAAAGAGUUUUGGAACUCUUUCAUUGUCUAAGAUAUUUCAUUUUCAGGAAGCCUGACUUCUAAAUUGAAUCUUAACACUACACAGUGUUAUCCUUGUAUUCACUACUGAGUGGUAUGCUGUUUUCCUUAAAAUAAGCCACAAAAUUAUUUAAGUAUUAUUGAAUACAAAAGCAUGUACUAUACAGCUUAUACAAACAUUACUGAAUAUUGAAUAUUUAAUUGAAGAUCAUUUUAAAUAUUCAAUAGAAACAAUGAAAUUGAUGUACCAAAUAAAAUGUGGGAAAAAAAAAAAUAUUUGAAUAUUCAAAACAUACCCAAAGACUGACAAAAGACAAACUUGUCCUACAUUGUUCAAACCCCAUGCUACAGGAAAUAUGGAUAUUAUAUUUAGUAUUAAAAAAAAAAAACAAAAGGAGCUUUGUCUCUUCCUUUGCCUUUUCUAUUAUGCAUACAUCUUGCUCUCCUUAGAUGACAAAAAAAUAGGUAUUUCUGAAAAUCCAUUAAUGUAUGUCUAGAUUCUGUUUCAGUAUUGAGCAGACUGAACUGUUAGUUUGCUAUUUAGAAAUACUGGUACUACUGGCUAUUAUUAGCAAUAAUUAUCUCUACUUAUUCAUAAAAUCUAUUUUGUCUUUAGCAACCAAAACUGGUUUAUUUGUUAGACUGAGUUUUUGUUAUGCAACAUCCAGCUCAGAAUGAAUGAGUCAUUCAUUGAGAUCUCUCCAUCCUUUCAGCUUCUUUAUUUCCACUAGUGAAAUAACACAAUAACACAAUUUCAUUUUAAUUUCAUUUCUAUUGAAAUUUUCCUAUGCUGUAAUUCCAGUUUCAGCAUGGUCUUUCAAUUGCUUGUAUGGUCCCUAGACCACAGGAAUUCUCAAUAACUUUACUCACAUACCAGGUUGAUUUGGAAGCUGUCAAGAUAUUCUUUCUCACAGUAUCCAAAGGAGCCUACUCUGUCUCAGCAUGCACAUAUAAAUAUCCACAAAGAGAAUCAAAAGUGGAGAAGUUUCCAUACACUGGGACUGAAACAAUAGUAAUACACAGACACGCAUACUGUGAGUGUUAUACAAGUAUUUUACAUAUGGUAGCAACUAAUUUUUAUUAUGAUUGUGGCUAUUUUGCCAUAUUUUAAAAAUACCUUCUGGACUUAGCAUGAUUUUUACACUCUAAGCAGUAUUUUUUAAACUAACAAUUUUGCCGUUAGUCAAAAAAUAUCAGAUGUUUGCUUGGAGGGAAUAUCUUAAUCCUCUUCUACAACUUCAUUUUUAAGGGAAAAUAAUUUUAAUGAGAAGCUCAAGGAGAAAAAAAAAAAUCUCCUGCAAAAUAAGCAGAAUCAGCAGAUUUUUAAAAUAUCUAAUACAGUAACCCUGCCCCAGAAACGGGUUUGCUAGAACAUUUGGACAGACCUCACUCACAUCAGAGAGCUCCUGGAAUUUUUACCACAUUGGGACACCUAACAUAAGGCUGUUUGUGGAAAAGGAAUCAUCAGUUUUUACCUGUCAUAAAAACAACUCGUGUUCAGCUAUGGACACUCACAGCUAUCACAUCCCAGGUGGUCAGGCCACUUUGGUACCUGUCAGGCUGAUAGAGAAAUUGUUCUGGCGCAGGAACCAAUAAGCAUCAUUUAACCACAUUCCUGGACUCAGUUCUGGUUCUAGCAGUGCAGGAAAGAUAAAGAUGAACUGGAGCAAGUUUGGUGUUUACCACUGCAAUGGCUGGGGCUGGAGCACUCAGUCCACGAGGAGAGGCUAGAAUUCUGCUCAGCCUGGAGAAGAGAUGACUUUUGAUGGGUGCCUGUGACAUUCAAGACUGGAAUACAAUCACUACUUGUAGUUCAACUGCAAGAAGUCUGAGAAAUUUAUAAUGUGAAUGCCAAUAAUAACUUCUCAAGACUGAUUCAUAAAAUUAAUAACACAUUAUUCAAAAUUACUAAAAUAUUUGAAGCUUUGGGGUGGUCUCAGAAGUAUCAAUUCAGCUAGGUGAUUUUCAUUUACCUCUGUGUCACAUCUACAUCACAUCUACACAUAUCUGAAACAAAGAUCAUCAAGAUGUUUGCACAUUUUUCCAAUGUGCUCUACUUUAUUUUAUUUUAUUUUACUUAGAAUUGCAC
ensembl:lncRNA